GAUGAACGCUGGCGGCGUGCCUAAUACAUGCAAGUCGAGCGAACGGACGAGAAGCUUGCUCUUCUGAUGUUAGCGGCGGACGGGUGAGUAACACGUGGAUAACCUACCUAUAAGACUGGGAUAACUUCGGGAAACCGGAGCUAAUACCGGAUAAUAUAUUGAACCGCAUGGUUCAAAAGUGAAAGACGGUUUUGCUGUCACUUAUAGAUGGAUCCGCGCUGCAUUAGCUAGUUGGUAAGGUAACGGCUUACCAAGGCAACGAUGCGUAGCCGACCUGAGAGGGUGAUCGGCCACACUGGAACUGAGACACGGUCCAGACUCCUACGGGAGGCAGCAGUAGGGAAUCUUCCGCAAUGGGCGAAAGCCUGACGGAGCAACGCCGCGUGAGUGAUGAAGGUCUUCGGAUCGUAAAACUCUGUUAUUAGGGAAGAACAUAUGUGUAAGUAACUGUGCACGUCUUGACGGUACCUAAUCAGAAAGCCACGGCUAACUACGUG
rnacentral:rRNA from 1 species